rnacentral:rRNA from 1 species
UACGUAGGGGGCAAGCGUUGUCCGGAUUCAUUGGGCGUAAAGAGCGUGUAGGCGGCCAGGUAGGUCGGUUGGGAAAACUGGAGGCUCAACCUUCAGAGGUCGACCGAAACCAUCUGGCUAGAGUCCGGGAGAGGAGAGUGGAAUUCCUGGUGUAGCGGUGAAAUGCGCAGAUAUCAGGAAGAACACCCGUGGCGAAAGCGGCUCUCUGGAACGGUACUGACGCUGAGACGCGAAAGCGUGGGGAGCGAACAGG